rnacentral:rRNA from 1 species
GCGUGACAUUAGCUAGUUGGUGAGGUAACGGCUCACCAAGGCAACGAUGUCUAGGGGUCCUGAGAGGGUUAUCCCCCACACUGGUACUGAGACACGGACCAGACUCCUACGGGAGGCAGCAGUAAGGAAUAUUGGUCAAUGGGCGCAAGCCUGAACCAGCCAUGCCGCGUGCAGGAAGACGGCCCUAUGGGUUGUAAACUGCUUUUGUCAGGGAAUAAACCUAUCUACGUGUAGAUAGCUGAAGGUACCUGAAGAAUAAGCAUCGGCUAACUCCGUGCCAGCAGCCGCGGUAAUACGGAGGAUGCAAGCGUUAUCCGGAUUCAUUGGGUUUAAAGGGUGCGCAGGCUGAUUAUUAAGUCAGGGGUGAAAUCUCUCGGCUCAACCGAGAAACUGCCUUUGAUACUGAUAGUCUAGAGUAUAGUUGAAGUUGGCGGAAUGUGUCAUGUAGCGGUGAAAUGCUUAGAUAUGACACAGAACACCGAUCGCGAAGGCAGCUAGCUAAGCUAUAACUGACGCUCAUGCACGAAAGCGUGGGGAUCAAACAGGAUUAGAUACCCUGGUAGUCCACGCUGUAAACGAUGAUUACUCGAUGUUGGCGAUACACAGUCAGCGUCUAAGGGAAACCAAUAA